rnacentral:rRNA from 1 species
UACGUAGGGAGCAAGCGUUGUCCGGAAUCAUUGGGCGUAAAGCGCGCGUAGGCGGCCCCGUAAGUCCGCUGUGAAAGUCAAAGGCUCAACCUUUGAAAGCCGGUGGAUACUGUGGGGCUAGAGUACGGAAGAGGCGAGUGGAAUUCCUGGUGUAGCGGUGGAAUGCGCAGAUAUCAGGAGGAACACCGGUGGCGAAGGCGGCAUCCUGGACCAACACUGACACUGAGGAGCGAAAGCCAGGGGGGCAAACGGG